UCAUUAUUUUAUGACUGUUAUUGACUGUUGGUUAUUCAUUAUUUUAUGACUGUUAUUGAUUGUUGAUUGAUGUUUCAGGACCAAGACUCCCGGCCCCGGAGCUCAGUCUGCUCUCAGGGCUCUGGCUCGAUCUGGAAUGAAGAUCGGACGCAUCGAGGACGUCACUCCGAUCCCGUCAGACUCCACCAGGAGGAAGGGAGGUCGUCGUGGUCGCCGUUUGUAAAAACUGCAUCAAGAUUUUCUGACAAUAAAACGAUUAAAAUCA